GAUGAAGAACGUAGCGAAAUGCGAUACGUAGUGUGAAUUGCAGAAUUCAGUGAAUCAUCGAAUCUUUGAACGCACAUUGCGCCCUUUGGUAUUCCAAAGGGCAUGCCUGUUCGAGCGUCAUUUGUACCUUCAAGCUUUGCUUGGUGUUGGGCGUUUUUUGUCUCCCUCUUUCUGGGAGACUCGCCUUAAAACGAUUGGCAGCCGGCCUACUGGUUUCGGAGCGCAGCACAUAUUUUGCGCUUUGUAUCAGGAGAAAAGGACGGUAAUCCAUCAAGACUCUACAUUUUUAACUUUUGACCUCGGAUCAGGUAGGGAUACCCGCUGAACUUAAGCAUAUCAAAGCGGAGGA
rnacentral:misc_RNA from 1 species